CAGUCACCUUUUAACAGAAAACCACCCAAGGCUAAAGGUGAUUCUCUUCAGGUAUCUUUCCCUCCUUGGUCAAAACCAAACUCAGGGCCAGAGUUAAAGAAUUUCUAAAACCCAAGGAGGAUACUCAAAAUGUUUUUUUUUAAAUGGAUUAUAUUCAGAGCCAAAAAAAAAAAAAAAAAAAUUAGGCUCUCUUCCUUAAGCUAAAAUAAAAACUAUACCCAAAGGAAAAAAUGUUCCUAAAGCCCUCGUAAAAGAAUUUAUGAGUAAACUAACCUAUGAUGUCAUUCAAGUUGCAACCCAUUCCUUCAAGACAUUAAAAACAACUUCCUUGUCUUACAAAUUGAGUUUCUAUGGGACCAGAGGUGGGGCUCCAGAAACAAUUCAAAACUCCCCAAACUUCCCAUAUUUUGCUCAAAAGGCUACCUUAGUAAGUAACGUAAAAAUUCUGGUCUUAGGAAAUAAAAGUGCUUCUUGAAGGCGCUUGCAUUCUUUCCCUGUGCCUGUGAGAUAUAAAGGUUCUACUCUGCCUUCUCAGGAAACUCUUACAUUUUUAUCUAGGUUAUCUGUUUAAAAUGCAAACUUCAGGAAAGAAAUUCUUAUCAGAAGAAAAACAAAAGCGGGGAAGGUUAUGUGGAACUUGGACAAAUGAAAAAUCUUUAAUGUCCACUCUACAAAUAUUGGUAAAAAGCUGUAGCUCUGAGCAAGCGAACUUAACUUAUUCCAACUGCCAGAACACAAUCUGGAUCUAAGUGCUCUUUUAUAAACUAGUAAAUUUUGCAUUAUCAUACCCAUUUCCUGUCUAAACCUUUUUUUUAUGACCGCAUCCACAACAUAUUAAAGUUCCCAGGCCAGGGAUUAAAUCUGAGCUGCAGCUGGUAAAGGUCAGAUCCUUUAACCCACUGCACUGGGCUGGGGAUCAAACCCACACCUCCACAGCGACCAGAUCUGCUGCAGUCAGAUUCUUAACCCACAGAGUCACAGCAGGAACUCCGCUUGCCUAAAAUUUUAAAACAAAGCUAUAUGACUGGCAUCUGUCUGUACGUUUAUGUGUGUCUAUAUACAUAUUUGUGUGUGCUGUGGAUAUGCGAUAUUUUUCUACCUCUGAAUGGCAUUACCAAAAUUAAUCUACAAAAAAGCUUUAUUUAGCUUUGUUGAAGGGCAAGCGCUGGUAAGGAUUGGGUAUUUCAAAACGCUCAGAAAUACAGAAACUAACCCAAAUGUUUUUCAAGUUCACAUUAUCUGGGAAAAUCUUUUGUAAAUAAAAACUAGUAUAAGCUUGUCGGAUUAAUUAAAAUAGGUCUGUCUUUAGAAUUAUCAGCAUUAAAAAUAAUGUAGAUGGGAGUUCACAUUGUGGCCCAGCAGAUUAAGAACACGAUAUAGUGACUGUGAGGAUGCAGGUUUGGUCCCUGACCUCGCUCGGUGGGCUAAGGAUCUGACGUUGCCGCAAGCUGGGGAGUAGGCUGUAGAUGCGGCUAGGAUCUGGUGUUGCCAUGGCUGUGGUACAGGACUGAAGCUACAGCUCUGAUUCAACCUCUAGCCUGGGAAUAUCCAUUUGCCGUAGGUGCAGCCAUCAAAAAAAUAAUAAUAAUAAUGCAGAUGUACAACUUUAUUCCACCUGAGUUUAUUAGGCAAAUAAGUUUAUGUCAUCUCUGCUACAAAAUUUAUCAGCAAGAAAAACUAGCUUGGAAUGAUGGCUGAGUUUGUCAUGAAGUUUUUGUGGGUAGCCUACACAUAAUUAAAGAGAGCAAGUGAAUUAAAUAGAUGGAAGCAGGACAAAGGUUUUAAGCUGAACUUUUUAGUUUAAAUAUUUUUGGUAACUUGAAACUUUAGAGUUUUGCUAAGUUAAGAUAAAUGAUGGAAAUUUAUUAACUAUCUAGAUAAUUUCCAAAUAAGAUAAAAUAAUAAAACACCAACUACUGAACACAGAUCCACCUUUUGGCUUCCUAUGGAAAGAAACCAAAAAUAAAUUUGAGUUUAUUGAUAAAAUUGCCCGGUGCCACAUUAAAAGAUUGUAUAUGAGAAGGCAUAUGUUUCCAGAAAUUAUGAAAUGUAUUCAUAAAUUUGCCACUCCAAAUAAUGCUGGUAUAGCAUACAGUUUAUAACUGUUUACUUCAUUUUCAACAAAAAUUAAGGUUUAUAAGGGUUAAAAAUUCUAGUAUGUAUAAGCUGCUAAAAGUAAUAAGAAAAUCCACGACCAUAUACAAGGAAGUAGAAAGUGUGUUUUUGGUAGAAGACAGCAUAAGGACUAGAGAUGCAUUUUUUGUUAAGGAAAAAAAAGGUUAAGAAAAUCUUUUAAGCCAUCUAUGACUUACUGUAAUUUAGUAAAGUAUAUCUUUGUACACAAAGAUGAAACAUUUCCCAUUUCUCUCUACCUGAUCCCUCCAGAAUUCAGAAACUCUUAAGUAUACUUUUCAUGGCAAUAUGAUUAUUUAUUUGCGUAAGUUCAAUAAGAAUCUAUCCUCCUCGUAACAGGACACAAUUGGAAACAUUGGUUAUAUUAGCAAGGCUUUCUUUGACUAGAUUGUUAUAUUUGAGAGAAGUGUGCAUAGACUCAGACAUGACCAGACAGCUUUAAGGAACUAAGAUAGACUUUAACCGAGUCAAUAAAACCCCUCUGAAAAAUUGACCUGUUACCCUGCUUACAAGAUUCCCAGCAGCUUUACCGGGUCCUUGGCUUGGCUUCCUGGCUUCAAGAGGCUUUUUAAUAGUUCAAUUCCUUGGAGUUCCCAUCAUGGCGCAGCAGAAACGAAUUGGACUAAGAACCAUGAGGUUGUGGGUUCGACGAUCCCUGUCCACUCAGUGGGUUAAGGAUCUGCCAUUGCUGUGGCUGUGGCGUAGGCCAGAAGCUGUGGCUCUGGUUAGACCUCUAGCCUGGGAGCCUCCAUAUGCCAAGGGUGAGGCCCUAAAAAGCAAAGGGAUCAAUUCCUUAUGAAAGGUUCCAGCAAAGCAGAUUUAAAAGAACCUAUAAGGUCAACUUCUAUUCUUGCAGCUUUUAUGUAAAUAAUCAAGCCAAUCUGAUACAAUUACAUUAGUUUUACUGUGAUAAUCUUUGGGGAAAAACGGGGGUAAUCAUAGAGAGAAAAAUUAUGUUUGCACCUUUGUAAAUAUUAAAUUCUAAUUGUCUUAGAGGUUUUGCUAGAUACUUAUAAAGUGGACUGAUCCUGCAUUCUUCUAGUUUCUUCAAAUACCUGGCUGCAACUUUAUGCAACUAACAUUCCCAAUUUUCUCCCACGCUUCUGAUUUGGACUCACUAACAGCAAAGACUGCCCGUGAGCCUCCUUCGAAGGGACUAUACCAGGUCCUCCUCAUUACCCGUAUGACAGCCACAUUUCAAGGACUUGAACUUUGGAUGCAUGUCUCACAGCUGAGGCAGCCUCCACCUAUGCAAAUGCUGGAGACCUCCCAAUCAAAUUAAGGACGAAAAGAAGUAGCUGACAUUGCCGUAAACUGCUUCCACCCAAGACAAUGGAUCAAAACAUCAUUACUUUAACCAAAUAGGAAAUUCUUUCUUCUCUUUCUUUCCCGUACUCUGGCACUGGCCUGGAAAUAGAACAGCAUCAUCCAUAUCUCCCAGGGCAUUGUGAAGGGAGACUGCUGAAUUCAUCAUCAAAACUCCAAUUUGCCCAAUUCCCCUUUAGCGGAGGUGAUUCAGGCCCUGAUGGGAUGUAUCUCUGUGGUGGUUAUCAUUCCGCUUUGGCCUAUGAAUGCCUAGAGAGCAGGUGCAUAAUGGGCAAUGCCUCUUGGGUUAUCUAACUGUGCUCCCUAAGAAUUCACAAACUGGGACACCUCACUGGUCAACUCCCCUGAUUUGCAUUAUUGAGUUAGAAAGGACCUCCCCGGAGGCUUUUAUGAUUCAGGAUUAGCUUCCUUUUGCAGGGCCCUACUUCCAAGGUUAGGAGUGAAUGCAAAUGAGGCUGUCAUUAGGAAUAGGUCCUGAACUCUUGAAACCAUUGCAGAAUCCCCUGCUAAAGCAAUACCUGCCCUACAAAAAUCCUUAGGCUCUCUGGCCAAAGUUAUUCUUGAUCAUAGAAUAGCCCUUGAUUAUCAUUUAGCUGAGCAAAGAGGUGUCUGUGCUGUUG
rnacentral:lncRNA from 1 species